rnacentral:lncRNA from 10 species
UUUUUUUUUUUUUGAGACGGAGUCUUGCUCUUGUCUCCAGGCCGCAGUGCAGUGGCAUGAUCUCAGCUCACCGCAACCUCCGACUCCCUGGUUCAAGCGAUUCUCCUGCCUCAGCCUCCCGAGUACCUGGUAGCUGGGUUUACAGGCAUGCACCACCGUGCCCAGCUAAUUUUUGUAUUUUUAGUAGAGACGGGGUUUUACUGUGUUGGCCAGGAUGGUCUCGAUCUCCUGACCUCGUGAUCUGCCCACCUCGGCCUCCCAAAGUGCUGGGAUUACAGGCGUGAGCCACCGCACCCGGCCAAUGUCUUUUAAAAAUAUAUACUUUUUUUUUUUUUUUGAGACGGAGUUUCGCUCUUGUUGCCCAGGCUGGAGUGCAGUGGCGCGAUCUCACCUCACGGCAACCUCCGCCUCCCGGGUUCAAGUGAUUCUCCUGCCUCAGCCUCUCCAGUAGCUGGGAUUACAGGCAUGUGCCACCAUGCCUGGCUAAUUUUGUAUUUUUAGGAGAGACGGGGUUUCUCCACGUUGGUCAGGCUGGUCUCAAACUCCUGACCUCA